rnacentral:rRNA from 1 species
GACGAACCGUGCGAACGUUGUUCGGAAUCACUGGGCGUAAAGAGCGCGUAGGCGGCCAGAUAGGUCCGUUGUGAAAACUCGAGGCUCAACCUCGAGACGCCGAUGGAAACCAUUUGGCUAGAGUCCGGAAGAGGAGAGUGGAAUUCCUGGUGUAGCGGUGAAAUGCGCAGAUAUCAGGAAGAACACCCGUGGCUAAGGCGGCUCUCUAGUACGGUACUGACGCUGAGACGCGAAAGCGUGGGGAGCGAACAGG